rnacentral:rRNA from 1 species
CGACCCGGACGAAUGACCCGCAAGGGUUUGACGGUACGGGUAUAAGAAGCCCCGGCUAACUACGUGCCAGCAGCCGCGGUAAUACGUAGGGGCCCAGCGUUGCUCGGAAUUACUGGGCGUAAAGGGUUCGUAGGUGGUGCGGCAAGUUGGGAGUGAAAUCUCUGGGCUUAACUCAGAGGCUGCUUUCAAAACUGCCGUGCUCGAGUGCGAGAGAGGCCAGUGGAAUUGCAGGUGUAGCGGUGAAAUGCGUAGAUAUCUGCAGGGACGCCCGUGGCGAAGGCGGCUGGCUGGAUCGCAACUGACACUGAGGAACGAAAGCUAGGGGAGCAAACAGGAUUAGAUACCCUGGUAGUCCUAGCCCUAAACCAUCAGGACUUGGGGUGGCUCGCGUAGGCGAGUCGUCCCGUAGCUAACGCGUUAAGUCCUGCGCCUGGGGAGUACGGUCGCAAGACUGAAACUCAAAGGAAUUGACGGGGGCCCGCACAAGCGGUGGAACAUGUGGUUCAAUUCGACGCAACGCGAAGAACCUUACCUGGGCUUGAACCGCUACUGACCAACGGUCGAAAUAUCGUCUUCCCGCAAGGGACAGUAGUAGAGGUGCUGCAUGGCUGUCGUCAGCUCGUGCCGUGAGGUGUUGGGUUAAGUCCCGCAACGAGCGCAACCCUUACUCGUAGUUGCUACCCGCAAGGGAGAACUCUACGAGGACUGCUCCGGAUAACGGAGAGGAAGGUGGGGAUGACGUCAAGUCAGCACGGCCUUUAUGUCCAGGGCUACACACGUGUUACAAUGCACGGUACAGACUGUUGCGAACCCGCGAGGGGGAGCUAAUCGGAUAAAACCGUGCUCAGUUCGGAUUGCAGUCUGCAACUCGGCUGCAUGAAGCUGGAAUCGCUAGUAAUGGCGUAUCAGAUCGACGCCGUGAAUACGUUCCCGGGCCUUGUACACACCGCCCGUCACAUCACGAAAGUGAGCUGUACUAGAAGUCACCGAGCCAACCGUAAGGAGGCCAGCGCCCAAGG